rnacentral:rRNA from 1 species
AGAGUUUGAUCCUGGCUCAGAAUCAACGCUGGCGGCGCGCUUAACACAUGCAAGUCGAACGAGAAAGUGGAGCAAUCCAUGAGUAAAGUGGCGUACGGGUGAGUAACACGUGGGGAUCUACCCUUUGGUGGGGAAUAACCUGGGGAAACCUGGGCUAAUACCGCAUAAGUCCGCAAGGAGAAAGUCGCAAGACGCCGAUGGAGGAACCCGCGGCCGAUUAGCUAGUUGGUGAGGUAAGAGCUCACCAAGGCAACGAUCGGUAGCCGGCCUGAGAGGGCACACGGCCACACUGGCACUGAAACACGGGCCAGACUCCUACGGGAGGCAGCAGUGGGGAAUCUUGCACAAUGGGGGAAACCCUGAUGCAGCGACGCCGCGUGAGUGAUGAAGCCCUUCGGGGUGUAAAGCUCUUUCGACGGGGACGAUUAUGACGGUACCCGGAGAAGAAGCUGCGGCUAACUACGUGCCAGCAGCCGCGGUAAUACGUAGGCAGCGAGCGUUGUUCGGAAUUACUGGGCGUAAAGAGUGCGUAGGCGGUUCGGCAAGUCUGGUGUGAAAUCUCCCGGCUUGACUGGGAGGGUGCGCCGGAAACUGCCGAGCUAGAGUGUGGGAGAGGAAAGUGGAAUUCCUGGUGUAGCGGUGAAAUGCGUAGAUAUCAGGAGGAACACCUGCGGUGUAGACGGCUUUCUGGACCACUACUGACGCUGAGGCACGAAAGCGUGGGGAGCAAACAGGAUUAGAUACCCUGGUAGUCCACGCCCUAAACGAUGCGGACUUGGUGUGCGCCCUUCAUUGGGUGCGUGCCGGAGCUAACGCGUUAAGUCCGCCGCCUGGGGAGUACGGUCGCAAGGCUGAAACUCAAA